AUUCUCAUUUUAUUUUUCCUAUUUAAACCAGCCUAUCCUUUGUUUGGUUUCCACGUUCAAACUCUUGUUGUAAAUUCAUCACAAUCUCUAUUCCCACCAUCUUUUGCAAAUCACUAAAAAUCAAAACACAAACUUUUCUAUUUCACCCCAACAUCACCAUCUCUACAAAACUUUCAUAUACAAAAGCAGCCACUGCCUAGUUAAGUGCCAUUCAAGAAUGUAGGAGCCGAGCCUCUGACGAGGUGGUGGAGAACACAACAUUGUUCAAGUUGCACUAGGAGGAGAGGUGUGAAAAAUGAUCACCGAAGUAUGGAGAUACGACAGAGUGAAGCAACCUUGGGCAUGGGUGGAAUUGGAAAAUAGCGGAAAUGAACCUGUGUUUUCGAUAAUAAGGUCUGAAUUUCAAUGUCUUGCUCCUGGAGGUUAUGUUGGAAGACAAAUAAUAAAGAUGAUGGCUAUGAGGAUUACAUGAGCUCAAAAGCGUGCAUUGAGCCAGAGCCUGUGGUGUUUACCACCCUCAUUUGAGGAAAUUGCAUCCCCGGGGCAAUACCUUGAUCGACCGGAAGAGCCAUUGAAUGAUAAAGUUCAGUUGAGUGGUCAUCAUUGACGUUGCGCAUGGACCUUGGUGGAUUGUAAGAAGCUUUGAUUGGUAAAAUUGGUAGUUGUGGCAGAUCGUCGUCUUCAUAUUCUUCGUUCUCAUCACCGUUUUGUGCGGCAAGGAGUUCUUCAUCAUCUUGAACUUCAUCAUUUCGUUGGUCAUGGAAUUGGGAGGUAAAUAUAUCGAUUUCAUCGUUUAAAAUUUCGGGUUGUGUUGAACGGGAUGGUGUUUGAGAGGGAUGAGGUUGAGUUAUUCUUUGUGAUGGUUCGUACACAUUUUGUGACCACUGUGACUGAAAAGGUUGGGAUAAGGAUGCAUCAUAAAUGGAUGACGGGUUGUAGUAUGGUUCAGACGAUGACGGGUUGUAGUGUUGUGUGCUAUAUUGUUGUUGUAGUAGACUUUGGUGUUGACUAGAACUUGAUGGGUAAUUUAACUCAAAAUUAGAUGUUGGAUUCUUCAUGUCAAAUGUAACAUAAAACUCUAUAUAGGACAAAGAACUGUGACUUUUAUGUACGUUAAACAUAAACUCGAAAUCGUCGUUAUCAGUUAUUCUUAACGCCUGGUAGUGAAUUGUGGUAGUUCCAACAAACAUGGGAUUCCGGCAUAUAAUUUCAGACACAACCAUAUUAUCUCCGAGACAUAAUUUUUCCACUAUUCUUUUUUUGAGAUGCAAGUAAGUACUAGCCAUGCUCACUUUCAAACCUUUGGUAUACUGACUUUGGAAAAAAUGUCGGAUUCAUUUUGUUUAACUUCUCCAUUGUAGUACAUAAAAACGUUUAUAUUUGGUGCCAUUGAAUGGUUUGGUCUUAAGAAAUGAGUAAGAGUAUGAAGUAGAGUGGUGUGAUACAAUCAUAAUAUGUAGACCACUUUUAUAAUAACACGUAACUGCAGACCACUUCUCCAUUCGAUAAGCGGGAAAAUUGAAAAAAAACUAGAACGCAAUCUUGACUUGCGGGGUAGCUGCCACACGCGCCAGCUGUAGGGGGUACCACGCAACUCCGACUUGCGGGGUACAUAACGCACGCGCCAGCUGCAGGGUAGGCCGCUAUCUGGAGUGGCGGGGUAGUAAGGACACGCGCCUCACUAUUGGCUCUUCAGAGGCAGCAUGUCGGUCCUUUGGGAGCUAGCACCAUGCACGUGAUUUAGCAUGUUUUGGUCAUUUCAGUCAAAAAUUUCUUGCAGAAAUUAAUGCAUUUUUUACAUGCAAUGGUCAUUUCUAUAUUUAUUUGAACACUGUUGGCUUGCAUGCGUUGCAGUAGUAACACAUGAAUUCUUCACUUCACUGAUUAAAAUACCACACUACUAUUUCCACCAUUUACACAUAGUUUAACAUUAUAAAUACCACACCUAUAUUCUUACUCUUUACACAUAUUCUACUUAUAUCAAUCCUUUUCUUCCUUACUCACUCACAUAACAAAUUAUUUCAAACAACUUGUGGUUGGAAAAUGAUCAUAGAUCCAUGGAAGAACACAUCAGAAGAUGGGUAUAUAUGAAUAUUAAUUUGUUAAUUUUACUUUCAUUUUUUAAAUUACUUAUUAUAUCUUCUCUUUUUAUUUUU